GCUGGGCGGGCGGCGAGCGGCCGGGAGCGCGCGGUGGACUCGGCCGCGGCGAGUAGUUAGUUAGUUGUUGUUAGUCAGUGUCAGUUGCUCGGCGGCGGCGGCCGUGGUCACCAGGAAGGGGACGGGACGGACGGUGAUGGUGGUCGCCGCGGCGGCGUGUGCGCCCCUCAGGUAUCUGCCCAAACUGGAACUUAUGCUGUAGACAUUUCUUUGUGGUUUAUCUAAAAACCAAAGGAAAAGAAUACUUGAGAUCCAUUUGUAAGGAAAGAAAAGGAAGCAACAACAUAAUGCCCAGAGUUGGAGCCAAUUAAACCAGG
rnacentral:lncRNA from 10 species